UUUCCGGUUGAUCCUGCCGGAGGCCAUUGCUAUCGGAGUCCGAUUUAGCCAUGCUAGUCGAGCGAGGUUAGCCCUCGCGGCGAACAGCUCAGUAACACGUGGCCAAGCUACCCUGCAGAGGGGGACAGCGUCGGGAAACUGACGGAAUCCCCCAUACCGGUCUCACGCUGGAAUGCCGAGACCGACAAACGCUCCGGCGCUGCAGGAUGCGGCUGCGGCCGAUUAGGUAGUCGGUGGGGUAACGGCCCACCGAGCCGAUAAUUGGUACGGGGUGUGAGAGCACGAGCCCGGAGACGGAAUCUGAGACAAGAUUCCGGGCCCUACGGGGCGCAGCAGGCGCGAAACCUUUACACUGCACGAAGGUGCGAUAAGGGGACUCCGAGUGCGAGGGCAUACAGUCCUCGCUAUUGUGUACCGUAGGGUGGUACACGACCAAGAGCUGGGCAAGACCGGUGCCAGCCGCCGCGGUAAUACCGGCAGCUCGAGUGAUGGCCGAUUUUAUUGGGCCUAAAGCGUCCGUAGCUGGCCCUGCAAGUCCGUCGGGAAAUCCACUCGCCUAACGAGUGGGCGUCCGGCGGAAACUACAGGGCUUGGGACCGGAAGACUUGAGGGGUACGUCUGGGGUAGGAGUGAAAUCCUGUAAUCCUGGACGGACCGCCGAUAGCGAAAGCACCUCAAGACGACGGAUCCGACAGUGAGGGACGAAAGCUAGGGUCUCGAACCGGAUUAGAUACCCGGGUAGUCCUAGCUGUAAACGAUGUUCGCUAGAUGUGGCACAGGCUACGUGCCUGUGCUGUGUCGUAGGGAAGCCGAGAAGCGAACCGCCUGGGAAGUACGUCCGCAAGGAUGAAACUUAAAGGAAUUGGCGGGGGAGCACUACAACCGGAGGAGCCUGCGGUUUAAUUGGAUUCUUCGCCGGAA
rnacentral:rRNA from 1 species